UCCUACGGGGGGCAGCAGUGAGGAAUAUUGGUCAAUGGGAGAGAUCCUGAACCAGCCAAGCCGCGUGAGGGAAGACGGCCCUAUGGGUUGUAAACCUCCUUUGUCGGAGAACAAAACCCGGGACGUGUCCCGGACUGCGUGUAUCCGAAGAAAAAGCAUCGGCUAACUCCGUGCCAGCAGCCGCGGUAAUACGGAGGAUGCGAGCGUUAUCCGGAUUUAUUGGGUUUAAAGGGUGCGUAGGCGGUCCGUUAAGUCAGCGGUAAAAUUGCGGGGCUCAACCCCGCCGAGCCGUUGAAACUGGAAGA
rnacentral:rRNA from 1 species